CGAUUGCAGAACUGUAUGGUAUCUUAGCUGAUAUCAUUAGCUUGUCUUCGGCUUUUGAACAUUUUUCUAUCUCUUGGAUUCGACGUACAAAUAACAAGGAAGCUGAUGCUAUGGCAAAGCAAGCCUUGUUAAAUGCGUCUGUUGUACCAGCCCCCUACAGGGCCUAAACUCUGUCGAAUUAAUGCAAGUUUAGUGUUACAAAAAAAAAAAUCAGUUUACCAUAAUAUAUGCUUCUGUAAAGCAUAUGUUUCUUUCAAAAACUCACGAUGCUCAUGAAAUAUUUUACUUCUUCCAGAUGAUGUGGCGUCUUAACUUAUUUGUGGCAUUUAGCUGCAUCAUUUUCAAUAACGAUUAUAUGAUAUACUACAUCUGUCCGAUGCACACUCUGCUUACUCUAAUGGUGUAUGGAGCCCUUGGUAUCUUCAGUCGGUAUAACGAAAUUCCAUCAGUAAUGGCUGUGAAAAUUGCUUCAUGCUUUCUUGUGGUCAUCCUCAUGUGGGAGAUUCCUGGAGUUUUUGAGAUUUUCUAGAGUCCUCUAACAUUCUUACUUGGAUACACUGAUCCAGCUAAACCAGACCUACCACUGCUACAUGAAUGGCACUUCAGAUCCGGACUUGACCGCUACAUAUGAUCAUUGGAAUGAUAUAUGCCUAUUUCCAUCCCACUGUAGAGAGAUGGAUGGAGAAAUUGGAGGAAUGUGAUGCCAAAAGAAAGAUAAUGUUUUGAUGGCUAAUAUAGGAUUUGAGAGAGAACAGAAUACUUUAUUGAAUGAUCAACGUACAAUAUAUAUAGGUACAUGACAGAGGAAUAUACUUAGCAUAUACUAAGGAUAUAUACAAAAGAGAUAAUCCUAGAUUUGAGGUUAUCGUAUAAGUCAAGUAUAUCCAAUACGCUCCCUCAAGAC